rnacentral:rRNA from 1 species
AGCAGCCGCGGUAAUUCCAGCUCCAAUAGCGUAUAUUAAAGUUGUUGCAGUUAAAAAGCUCGUAGUUGAAUUUCGGGACUAAUAUGUCGGUCGUACUUUGUACGUACUAGCAUUAUUGGUUUCUCCCUUCUGACGAACCACGAUGUCAUUAAUUUGGUGUCAUGGGAAAUCAGGACUGUUACUUUGAAAAAAUUAGAGUGUUUAAAGCAAGCUCGCGCUUGAAUACAUUAGCAUGGAAUAAUGAAAUAGGACGUUUGAUUCUAUUUUGUUGGUUUCUAGGAUCGACGUAAUGAUUAAUAGGGAUAGUUGGGGGCAUUAGUAUUCAAUUGUCAGAGGUGAAAUUCUUGGAUUUAUUGAAGACUAACUACUGCGAAAGCAUUUGCCAAGGAUGUUUUCAUUAAUCAAGAACGAAAGUUAGGGGAUCGAAGACGAUCAGAUACCGUCGUAGUCUUAACCAUAAACUAUGCCGACUAGGGAUCGGAUGAUGUUAAUUUU